CGAAUCCCUCCAUUUCAUUUCAAACCUGCGAGCGGAAAGGUGUGGAGUGUUGCCGCAGGUGUGGACUGCCGGCGACCUGCGUGACAAAGGAAGGUUUGUAAGAAAACAAGAAACAAGAACAAUUAAGAUGAACCACCACUAGCCGCACCACCACCACCCUGCCAAGUGGACACCCCAGUGUGAGCAGAGCCAUCAACACCAGCCUGAGGACUAAUUGCUUAUGUAGCAGAGAAGUGUGACAGUCUACCA